ensembl:lncRNA
GUCAACGUUGACUCCUCUUUUCUGCUUUGUGCAACUAUAUGGAUGACAGUGUCUCUUACUCAGGAAGAACACUGGAGGGACACCAGAUCUGGUAGGAAAGAGCAGAGAUCGGAAGUGCAUGGGUGCAGGAUCCACCUUGGAAGUGGAUCUUCCAGUCCCAAAAAUGCCUUCGGAUGACCUCAGCUCCAGCAGACAUCUGACUGCAACUUGAGAGAUCUCAGCAGAAUCACGCUGCUAAGCUGCUCCUGAAUUCCAUACCCCCAGAAAAUAUGAAGGAUAAUAAAUGAUGAUUCUUGUUUCAACUUACUAAGUGUUAGAGUGAUCUGUUACAUAGUAACAAAUAAUAAAAAGAGAUACUCUAUAUUUCUAUCUGUAAAGCACUUAGAACAGACUGACACUCAUACCAGUCCUAUGAGAUAAGGAUUAUUUAAUAUCUGUGUUAAAAAAAAAAAGAAGGCAAAACAAGAUAGUGAGAAGUUAAGUACAUAGCCAGGGUCACUCAUUUAACAAGUAGAAGAACAGGGAUACAAACAAGAGGGUCUGGCUCCAACGUCUGCGCUCUUAGCCACUAUAAUGUCCCACCUCAAGUGUGGGAGCUACUUUGAGAAGAAAGUACUUGCACUUCUAAACUUACUCUGAAUAAUACUUUGUACCCUAAAAAACUUACUCUCUGUUUUGGCAUUUAAGCGUGUGACUUUUUAGAAGUUGACUCCAGUUCAGAACAUGAUUUUUGAUUUGUAGUAUACAUUACCUUCUUCCAGAAAACACAUUUAUAAUUUUAUAAAGUAACACUGGGAAAAAGUAUUCCAUGAUCAAAAGUUCACUUCACUGCUAAGCUACUUGGGAGCACACACAUUCCUCAAAGCAAGACUCCUCUUUCAGCCCAUUGGUGAUGUUUACUCCUCCUCAGGGCAUGGAUGAGACUCUGGUGGAAAUACAUAAACAGCUAGUAGCCAAUCUUCUUUGAAUUCCUAAAACCCUAGUUAAUCUGCAUAAUUCGGCAUUAGUGAUGCUCUUAUAUUUUUGGCCUGUUCUGUUAACCAUCUCCUUAGCUCAAUGUUCAGCUCUCUGAGUGAAAGACUAAUGGCUCACAACUUCUCUAUCCUCUGUAGUAGGCUCCCAAAUGUUUGAUUAUUUAAGACACCCCAAACUUUCAAAACUGAAAGUCAUUCUAUUCGUUCUCUGAACCGCUCUGAAUUCCACCAGUUUCUCUUGCUUCUAGAGUCCAGCAUUUCUGUGCUGAGAGUUGUUCCGUCCUCCCUAA